CUUGACCACAAAAAAAAUCAUUAUUCUUUUGCUAUUUUAUUACUUUAACAGAAUAUUUCCUAAAUGUUCUAACAUGGUUACAUUUCAUUAAAAUGUUGGUAAUGUUCUUGGAACGUUCGCCAACUGGUUCGACAUUGGGAAUGUUCUCAAAUAGUCCAGAGAACGUUAAGAAACAACAUUCUUCGGUGGAAAUUUCGGUACUUCAGCAUAAUAUCUCCUCAUGUGUCACAAACCUCGCCGAAGAUGGUGCCUCUUCCUGUUCGGGCGGUGCUCGGCGGUCGUCGUCGCCGGCCUAUUAGCUGCCAUCGAUUCCCUUUCCGUUUGUUUUGGGUUAUUGGGUAAUUGGGUACACCUGUUUUGUAUUAGGGUUUGUUUGUAGGGUAUUUAAGGGCACUAGGCCCGCUGGGUAUUUGUGCGGGCUUGUUUUUGUUACUCUGUGUUUGAUGGUGUGAUUUAUUCGUGUAUUUAUUCUCCGGACUAUUUUGUCCUGUUGUUUGGACUGGCAACUUAUAUACGCCCUGUGUGUUGGCGUGACUGUUUUGUUGCGCUGGGGAAUAAAUUUGAAAAAAAGACUGAACCCUGCUCUCUGCGCCUGAUUCCACCCACCACUCCUAGUUGAUCGUAACAGAAGCCCGCACCCUUCAGAAAUGGAAUCAGCAGGAGCAGCGACCACCCCUCUCCCCACUAUGGAGGAGCUCGUCCAUCACCACACAGCGGUCCUCCAUCGGAUUGGUACCGCGAUGGACCAGAUGAUGGAGAGGAUGGAACGAUGGGAGAGGAGUGGUCUACCGACGUCUACCCCAGCUCCCCCACUGCCGACACCACCUACUCCACCUACGUCGUCCUCUGGGUCCGGCGCACUGCGUCUCUCCCCCCCGAGGGAGUACGAUGGAGCGGCGGCUGGGUGCCAGGGAUUUUUGCUCCAGCUAGAGCUCUACCUGUCUACCCUGCGUCCGGCUCCCUCGGGUGAGGAGAGUGUGAGCCUCCUCGUCUCCUGUUUAACGGGCAGGGCCCUGGACUGGGCUAAUGCGGUCUGGAACAGUCCAGACUCGGCUCGGGACAACUACCUGGAGUUCACCCGCCGUUUCCUGAGCUGUGUUCGAUCAUCCACCAGAGGGUAAAGCGGUGGGUGAGCGACUGUUCCACCUCAGACAGGAGACGAGGAGCGCACAGGACUUCGCGUUGGAGUUUAGGACCCUAGCUGCUGGUGCUGGGUGGAAUGACAGGGCCCUGAUGGACCAUUACCGGUGUAGUCUCUGGGAGGACGUCCGCCGGGAGCUAGCUUGCAGGGACACAACUCUCUCCCUGGAUGAACUAAUAGACAUGUCUAUUCGAUUGGCCAACCUGCUAGCUGCCCGCGGGCGUUCAGAAGGGGUCCUGUUAAUUCCACCUUCCAGCUCUCCCACUCCCACUCCGAUGGAGUUGGGAGGAGCUGCAUCUAGGGGGAUCAGAGGGGGCUCCUCCUGCGCCUAUUGUGGACGGAGAGGACACACUUCGGACCGGUGUUGGAGGAGUCCCUCUGGGAGUCGAGAUGGUCGGCGGAACACUCCUCGGCCACCCCAGGCCGGUGGUAGCUGGUCCCCUACAAGACAGUGAGGUACCGGAGGUCCCUCCACCCCCUCUGGACAUCGAGGGGACCCCGGCGUACACAGUACGAGCUAUUCUGGACUCGAGAUGCCGGGUGAGGGGCCUGCAGUACCUCGUGGACUGGGAGGGGUACGGUCCCGAGGAGAGGUGCUGGGUACCAGGGAGGGACAUUUUAGAUCCUUCCCUCUUGAGGGAUUUCCAUCGCCUCCACCCGGAUCGCCCUGCGCCUCGUCCUCCGGGUCGUCCUCGAGGCCGGGGUCUGCGCGCUGCGGGAGCCC
ensembl:lncRNA